rnacentral:rRNA from 1 species
GACGAACGCUGGCGGCGUGCUUAACACAUGCAAGUCGAACGGAAAGGCCCUGCUUUUGUGGGGUGCUCGAGUGGCGAACGGGUGAGUAACACGUGAGUAACCUGCCCUUGACUUUGGGAUAACUUCAGGAAACUGGGGCUAAUACCGGAUAGGAGCUCCUGCUGCAUGGUGGGGGUUGGAAAGUUUCGGCGGUUGGGGAUGGACUCGCGGCUUAUCAGCUUGUUGGUGGGGUAGUGGCUUUCCAGGGCUUUGACGGGUAGCCGGCCUGAGAGGGUGACCGGCCACAUUGGGACUGAGAUACGGCCCAGACUCCUACGGGAGGCAGCAGUGGGGAAUAUUGCACAAUGGGCGGAAGCCUGAUGCAGCAACGCCGCGUGCGGGAUGACGGCCUUCGGGUUGUAAACCGCUUUCGCCUGUGACGAAGCGUGAGUGACGGUAAUGGGUAAAGAAGCACCGGCUAACUACGUG